rnacentral:rRNA from 1 species
UACGUAGGUGGCAAGCGUUGUCCGGAAUUAUUGGGCGUAAAGCGCGCGCAGGCGGCUUCUUAAGUCUGAUGUGAAAUCUCGGGGCUCAACCCCGAGCGGCCAUUGGAAACUGGGAAGCUUGAGUACAGAAGAGGUGAGUGGAAUUCCACGUGUAGCGGUGAAAUGCGUAGAUAUGUGGAGGAACACCAGUGGCGAAGGCGACUCUCUGGUCUGUAACUGACGCUGAGGCGCGAAAGCGUGGGGAGCAAACAGG